AGGAACACCCCUAAUCCCUGUACAGUCAUGACAUCAUCCUCCUGCUUAAAUAUAUAUAGGGAAUGGCCAGAGCAUCUCUUAUAGUUCUCUCACUUUCAGAGUCAGCUGAAGGCUAGAGAAAGCUCCACAGAAAGCCUUUCAGUGUCUAACUUCUGUGGACUUGUCUUGAGAGAAGGCUGAGAGAGAUGAUGGCAGGAAUGAAAAUCCACCUGGUGUGCAUGAUACUCCUGGCUUGCAGCUCCUGGAGUCUGUGCUCAGGUAAGCCGAACAGCAUUUCACAAAACCCUUCAGUG
rnacentral:lncRNA from 1 species